GCCAUGGUGGUUCAGUGGUAGAAUUUUUGCCUUCCACAUGGGAGACCUGGGUUCGAUUCCCAGCCAGCA
rnacentral:tRNA from 1 species